UUUCUAGUUAGGUAGUUAGUGAUAGUUCUUAUUAGUGUAAUAUAGUAUAAUAAAGUAAUUAAUUAACCUUCUGAUAUCAUGGAGUUCUGCGCAUCAUUCUUCCCACUCGUUGGGCAGCAGCACUGAUAAGGAUCCACUCUAGAGAACCUGCUCCUGAAGAACUACAUGCCAUGGAAGGCCCCUACACUGAAGCAUUUUAUGUGGGAAGGGCUUGUGCUGGAGAAGUUAAUGAGAGACUGAGGCUGAGACUGGGAAGAAAGAGGAAUGGCUGUGACAGUGCAGCCAAGAAUUCUGCUUGCUAGGAGGGUGAGAUGUGCUUGGGAGUGAGGCUGCAAAGCCACCAUGGGCCAUAACAGCAGAGGAGCUCCAGAGCGUUCGAGAAAACUCAGCAAAGGAUUUCCUUGUUGAGGAAUGAUCAGGGUCUGAGCCCACCCUGGGCAGAUGCAGAACACAGGGUGGUGCCAAGAUUCCCACAUCCAGACUGAAAAGGCUCCAAAAGACUCCUUUCCUGCCCUUCUCCUGAACAUGAAAUGCCUCAAAAAAACCCAAAAAACCAAAAACUACACUGAGUGUCAGAGCUGCUGAAAAGGCAGGGGAUGCAGCAGGCUGUGGGGUGCAAAGGCAUGACCAGCAUUAGGAAAUCUGGGAGUGUGUCUGCUCCACACCUGAGGGGAGUCCUGCAGUGACCAGCAAGGACUACAUCCCUUGGAGGAAGUUAUGGCCAGUGGUGAGAAACUUGCUGGACCUCUGGGCUUCACCCAGGUUGCUCCUGCUCUGAAGAUUUGGAGACCAACAGUAGCAUAAGAAUUUUUCUGUGUAACACUUGCCAGAAACUGAAUACAGUAUUUUCCCUUUUUUCACCUUCCCUCAGUCCCAUGCCCUCCCAGUCUCUCCUUGGGAAAAUAUCUCCAACAGGGCUUUAAUGUAUUUUCUUUCCUGGGAAUCACUUUCUUCUUGCUGGCAAAAGGUUAGAAAAUGGAGCUGCCCUUACUGAGAGUGAGAUUUGUAAACCCCAAAACACCACCCGGGGGAUGUUUCAGCAGCUGUGUCUGAACACAGGACUGAGGGUUCUCCCCAGAGCUCUCUGAGAAUGUCACUAUUUCACUUCAGUCCAUGAGAGAAGUGCAGGAUGAGGCCAGAAGCCAAACACCAGGCAGAAAUCCUGCAGUUUAACCAAGAAACAAAACUGCUUUCUCUAGAGCAGCAUCUCCCUGCCCCAGAAUGAACAGGAAUUUCUGGCAAGAAUUGUGCUCGGUUUCUCUUCAUGAAAUAGUACAGACAAGGCCUGUAGAGCAAUUUAUGCUUGAGGCUAGCAACAGAAGCAAUCCUGCACUUUUAUUUGUGCUAAAAAAGCAGAAUUUUUUCCAGAUAUCACCAGUUUCUGGUUGAAGUUUUGGACUGAGCCCAUCACUCAGAUGUGAGGAGGCAGAGCUGAACCUGUGCUGCUGCUGUCAGUGGUGGCACACAGCAGCUGCCCUGUGGCUGCCGUGCCCUGAGGUGGCUGCAGUGCCUGUGCAGAGCCAAACCACACAACCCCUGUGUUGUUCACAUCAGCCAGCAGCACAAUCUCCACUCCUGCAUGCUGGGCUAGGCAGAGAUUGGCUCCACACCUUCAGGUUUCUUUCCUGCUUGUCCAAAAUGCAUCCAUCCUGGAGCAGAACUUGCUUUUUCUUCUCAACCCUGCUCAAAAAGCUGCUGAGGUGAGGACAGAAGAAAACCUCUGUAUUCCCUUUUUCCCCUUUAGCAUUAAAUAGAACACAAACAAGAAAACAGAUUAAAUAACAUGCCUUUCAGGGCAUAUGUUGCAUAAUACUAUAGAGAGCAGAAGCUUUUAAAGCAAAUCUCUCCACUAAAAUUAAAACAAACUGCUCUAAAUAGCAUUUUCCAGGCUCAGCGGGGGCAGGGGGAUGCCGAUUUCCAUGCUACUCCUCUGCAGCUUGUUAGCAGGCAUUGAGAAGCAUAUGCACUUUCCUUAAAAAAUGCACUUAGGCAGUUAUUAUCCAGCCUUCAAAUUAUCUGGCAACCUGUGCACUUGCAUCACCAUGGCAAGGAUAUUCUGCACCCUCUUGCAUGCAGGUGUACAGAAAAAUAAAUCAGAGUUUUAUCUUUUUUUUCUUUUUUUUUUUUUGUCCCAGCUCUCAGCACCUGGCCCUCGGCCCAAGGUACAGAUGGGGAGGUUGGUCCAGAAGCUGCAUGUCUGUGGUGCAUGUAGUUAUUUGUCAGUGGGGCUUGUUUUCAUCCCUGCAGGGGCAAUAAUAUAAAAAGCUGCAUCAAGACUGAGAUGAGAUAAGAAACUGCAGAGGGCCUGGAGUCUUAGGGAGGCAGAUGGGACAUUAACAGUUGGAAAUGACAUGGGGUUUUUCCAAAAUCCACAUGUUCCGACUAGAUUUUUGCAAACCAUGCACAUCUUUCAGAAGAACCUUUCUCCCCAAAAAAUUUAAAAUAAAAAUUUAGGGCCUUAAAAGUUUGCAGUGUUAAAGCAUUAAACACUUUGAUUUUUUAAUUUUUGAGAAGUUGAUAGUAACAGAAAUCCAAGUACAAGUAUCCCAAGGAGAGAAGAAAAUCAUAAUUAAUGAAUGUUAUUUUAAGAAAACAACCUGAAUUUAGGGCUCAAUGACAUGUUUAUAACCCUGUGUUUGUGACUUAGCAGGCCCUGAAGCAAAUACUAUGCCUGACUCCCAUUGCCUUAUAUUCCUUGGCCAGAAAACACCAAAGAAAACUGAAGGACUUUCAGAGGUAGCCCAGUACCCUUAGCAUCAGCAUUUCUCUAACCUCUCCCUCAGUCUGAGAGCAAACAAAGCCCAACAUGAAAUCCUGGACAGAAUAAUUUCCAUCUCAGUCAUCUUCCAGCAGAGACCCUGUGUGAUUUCAGAGAGCAGUAGUGACCCAUAUAUAUUUUGAUAACAAGAGUAUGCACCAUGUUUGCCCAGCUAAAGCACUUUUGAAACCUUGCUGCUUUAAAUUGUAUUUUGACCGCAUGGAGAGAGGUUUUCCACAUUUAACUACUGUAUUUUCACCCAGAGGGGCAUUUUGUUCUAUAGCAACACUUUUAGCAACAUUUAACUCAUCAUGGAGCACAAUGAUAGAAACCA